UACGUAGGGGGGCAAGCGUUGUCCGGAAUCAUUGGGCGUAAAGCGCGUGUAGGCGGUUCAGUAAGUCUGCUGUGAAAGUCCAGGGCUCAACCCUGGGAUGCCGGUGGAUACUGCUGGGCUAGAGUACGGAAGAGGCGAGUGGAAUUCCCGGUGUACGCGGUGAAAUGCGCAGAUAUCAGGAGGAACACCGGUGGCGAAGGCGGGUCUCUGGGCCGAUGACUGACGCUGAGGAGCGAAAGCGUGGG
rnacentral:rRNA from 1 species